UAUAUAUAUAUAUAUAUGUGUACGUCACGAUCAUCCGCAUCACCAGCAACAGCCCCUAUGAUAUGUAGAGAUCUAUUCAAUACCCCUUACCCCCGUCACCGUGCUCACUGUGUAAAAAGGGGCCCGUUGCCCGUUCGUUGUCGUUGUGUCCACUGUUCAUUAAGCGCCAAUGUGUGUGUGUGUAGUGUCACUAGUUGUAGGUAACGGUUCCAUCCGCUUCGCACAGCACAACAGCGGUAAAGCGGUACAGUAAGGUCGGUGGUGUCGGCGAAGCGAUGGGGGCGAUGGAAUGGAGGGGAAAGCAGCGAAAGGCAAACACAACGAUUGAUCUUGCAGUGAGUGUGUGUGUGUGUGUGUGUGUGUGUGUGUGUGUGUGUGUGUGUGUGGGUGUGUAGGUUGUUUAGCAGUGCGUUAAGCGAUCGCUUUACAGCCAUAUCCUGGUCACGGCACCAGCGCAUCAUUUGGAAGCUGUUUGAUCACACCGGGCAGCACUAGAUAGUGCUGACGGUUGAGUGAGAGAGCUUCCUACGGACACUCAACUCACCCACACAUCUUUACUCAAGAUCUCUCUCUGUUCUGCUGUUCGCUUUCUCUGUCGUUGAGGGUCAUGGGGGUUGUCAGGUAAGCGUUGAAAAAGCGAGAUGAAUAAGAAAUAAUUUAGAUAAAGAGAGAAAGUGGCGGAUAUUUAUUCACCCAACCUGUUGCAUAUCCUUUCGCCGCCAGCACCUGCCUGUGGCUUGGCAAACGAAUGUGCCCUUUUUCUAUGGUGCAGCAGUGCAAACUCUCGCCUGCACUGGUCCCGAUACAUAUUCUGGUUUAUGUGAUAUUUGAAAUGAACGAACGGAUGAUAUGAGCAUGAAGAUGUAGAUGUUAAAAAGCACGUAAGAUAAUGAAGGCGAGAUGAAGAGAGAGAGAGAGAGAGAGAGAGAGAGAGAGAGAGAGAGAGAGAGAAUGUAAGGAUAGAUUGAAGAGUGCAGAAGUUUAUAGAGAGUGUUACACGAAAGAAAACAAACAAAAAAGCUAUAUUUUUCCUACCGCUCCUACACGCUAUACAACGAAAUGGUUGAUUCUUGCUAGUCUAAUACUGUUACUGGUUGCUCGUUAAAAAGCACUAUUGUUUAAUUACACACACAUCAUUGUGUCUAUGCCUCUGGGUUUGUUGCUUGCCGAUCGCACACACACACCGUACAGCGAUCAUGAGUGAGUGCCGCUGCUAGUGACGUUGAGUGGUUGAGUGAGCUCCACUAGAAACGGGGCGCGCGAGCAAAGCGGACGCCGUUUAGCGUCCGCUUACAUUCCAUUACCGGUCUGCAUGCACACAGCCUGUGUUGGCGGACGGUUCGGGGCGCUUCAGCGGCUAAGCGCCCGCAACGUAUGCAAUCGGUGUAGCAAAAUCUCUUUUUGUUUUCUCCAUCAGUUUUACAUACGCCUUUACAAAGCGCGGAACCGCCAUUAGGAUAAACGAGGUAUAGCAGAGCGAAAGAAAGAGAUGUAGAGAAAGAGAGAGAUAGAGGGAAUAAAGGCAUGUAAAUGAGCGCAUUGAGCUCUCGGAAUUGAUAGGAAGAAGGCCGCUGCACCGCUACAUACUAACCUAUGGAACUUAGCACUAGAAUGUCAAACCCCUUUUUGAGCAACAAUAUAUGCCACCUCGUUCACCGACACAAUAGUACUCACAUACCCGCAGACAACUCACACACUCACACAUAUUUAUAUAUAAAUAUACACAAAUCUUAAAAAUUUACCGUUUUAGCGCACCUUAUAACAAAAGAAACCAUUAGUAAAAGAAUGUAGAGGCAAAGAAUUAAAGUUUAGAGAUAAUAAACCUUUAAAAAACAACCAAAACAAAAUGAAGAGAGAGAGAGAGAGAGAGAGAGAGAGAGAGAUAGAGAGAAAAAACUCGACGCCUUUCGAAACAUGUAUUUAGUAAGGAAUGUUUCUUAUAUAAAAAAUGAACUUUAAAUGAACCAAAAAUUAUACAUUCAACACUGGUGGGAGGCGCGACCGCCCAGGCGACCAGCGGUGACGUUUCACGCCGGGAUGCGUUUUAUGCCCAAUUUUGCUGUUGCGUUGAAGGUUUGCCAGUGGUGCUACAAAACUGAGCGAUCGUGUAAGAUGCGCGCCGGAAAACAAAAGGGUAUGCAAACCGCACCGCACAGUGCGCAAUAGUGUUCGUUUUAUCGGAGCGAAAUCAUUUCGUUUUUUUUCUGUACUCCCUCACAUUUUGUACAAUCAAACCAAAAAACAAAACAACAGACACAACAAAUCGAUAACACUUGUUUGUGCACAGAGAGAUUUACGCAACGUUUGAUAGUGAAUUUAAACUAACUAACUGUUUGGAAUUGUUACCGUCAAGAUAUUGUCCCUUCUCAGUCUUCAUAAGUAAAUGCGUCAAACGUCAUUAUGUAAGGUACAGUGUACACCGCUGUUUGAUGGUAAGCCCACUCUGAAACUUUUUGUGAAAUUAAAAAAAAAAGAA